rnacentral:misc_RNA from 1 species
GAUGAAGAACGUAGCGAAAUGCGAUAAGUAAUGUGAAUUGCAGAAUUCAGUGAAUCAUCGAAUCUUUGAACGCACAUUGCGCCUGCCAGCACUCUGGCAGGCAUGCCUGUUCGAGCGUCAUUUCAACCAUCAAGCCCUAGGCUUGCGUUGGAGCCCUGCGGCUGCCGCAGGCCCCUAAAAGCAGUGGCGGGCUCGCUAUCACACCGAGUGCAGUAGAUUACUCUUCGCUCAGGGCGUGUGGCGGGUUCCAGCCGUGAAACCCCCUACUUCUCAAGGUUGACCUCGGAUCAGGUAGGAAUACCCGCUGAACUUAAGCAUAUCAAUAAGCGGAGGA